UACGUAGGGUGCGAGCGUUAUCCGGAAUUAUUGGACGUAAAGAGCUCGUAGGCGGUUCGGUAAGUCGGGUGUGAAAACUUUGGGCUCAACCCAAAGCGUGCACUCGAUACUGCCAUGACUAGAGUUCGGUAGGGGAGUGGGGAAUUCCGUAGUGUAGCGGUGAAAUGCGCAGAUAUUAGGAGGAACACCGGUGGCGAAGGCGG
rnacentral:rRNA from 1 species